AGAUUGAACGCUGGCGGAAUGCUUUACACAUGCAAGUCGAGCGGCAGCGCGGGGCAACCUGGCGGCGAGCGGCGAACGGGUGAGUAAUGCAUCGGAACAUGUCCAUGUCGUGGGGGAUAGCCCGGCGAAAGCCGGAUUAAUACCGCAUACGCCCGAGAGGGGAAAGUGGGGGACCGCAAGGCCUCACGCGAUUGGGUUGGCCGAUGUCCGAUUAGCUAGUUGGCGGGGUAAUGGCCCACCAAGGCGAUGAUCGGUAGCUGGUCUGAGAGGAUGAUCACGCCACACUGGGACUGAGACACGGCCCAGACUCCGU
rnacentral:rRNA from 1 species